rnacentral:sRNA from 1 species
UUCAGGAGCUGUGAUGCACACCUGUAAUCCCAGCUACAUGGGAAGGUGAGGCAGGAGAAUCACAAGUUGAAGGCCUUCUUGGAAAUUAGUGAGAUCCUGCCUCAA